UGGGGUGUGUAUAUAUACAGUGUACUAUCAGUAGCACGGAGCGCUCCGUUAUGUUCGCUUAAAUGGGCCAGCAUCCUGCCUUGUGGCAGGAGGUCAUGUGGGCCCGAGUCAUGUUCGAAAUGGCAUGAGGCUAGGUGGGCCGAGUCAUGUUCGAAGUGGCGUGAGGCUAGGUGGGCCGAGUCACAAUCGAGACCCGUGGGCGCUGUUUCUGUACGCUUUAAGUGAAUUGGUUGCGUAUUUCUAACAGCUCGAGCUUUUGGGAUUAAUGGUUAGCGUCAACAAUCCGACAAGUUGUAUCAGAGCCAGAGCUCACAGAUUUAAUUCCUGCAUGCUGCAAAUGUGCGCAGGUGCUGGAGGGGGGAUUGUUGGCUUAAAUGGGCCAGCAUCCUACCCUGUGGCAGGAGGCCAUAUGGGCCGAGUCAUGUUCGAAAUCGCGUGAGGCUGGGUUGGGCCGAGUCAUGUUCGAAGUGGCGUGAGGCCAGGUGGGCCGAGUCACAAUCGAGACCCGUGGGCGCUGUUUCUGUACGCUUUAAGUGAAUUGGUUGCGUAUUUCUAACAGCUCGAGUUUUUGGGAUUAAUGGUUAGCGUCAACAAUCCGACAAGUUGUAUCAGAGCCAGAGCUCACAGAUUUAAUUCCUGCAUGCUGCAAAUGUGCGCAGGUGCUGGAGGGGGGAUUGUUGGCUUAAAUGGGCCAGCAUCCUACCCUGUGGCAGGAGGCCAUAUGGGCCGAGUCAUGUUCGAAAUGGCGUGAGGCUGGGUUGGGCCGAGCCAUGCUCAAAGUGGCGUAAGGCCAGGUGGGCUGAGUCACAAUCGAGAUCCGUGGGCACUGUUUCUGUACGCUUUAAGUGAAUUGGUUGCGUAUUUCUAACAGCUCGAGUUUUUGGGAUUAAUGGUUAGCGUCAACAAUCCGACAAGUUGUAUCAGAGCCAGAGCUCACAGAUUUAAUUCCUGCAUGCUGCAAAUGUGCGCAGGUGCUGGAGGGGGGAUUGUUGGCUUAAAUGGGCCAGCAUCCUACCCUGUGGCGGGAGGCCAUAUGGGCCGAGUCAUGUUCGAAAUCGCGUGAGGCUGGAUUGGGCCGAGUCAUGUUCGAAGUGGCGUGAGGCCAGGUGGGCCGAGUUACAAUCGAGACCCGUGGGCACUGUUUCUGUACGCUUUAAGUGAAUUGGUUGCGUAUUUCUAACAACUCGAGCUUUUGGGAUUAAUGGUUCGCGCCAACGAUCCGACACGUUAUACUUGAUCUAUACUAUU
rnacentral:lncRNA from 1 species